CGUGAGAUGUUUGGGUUAAGUCCCGCAACGAGCGCAACCCCUAUUGUUAGUUGCUACGCAAGAGCACUCUAGCGAGACUGCCGUUGACAAAACGGAGGAAGGUGGGGACGACGUCAAAUCAUCAUGCCCCUUAUGUCCUGGGCUACACACGUAAUACAAUGGCGGUCAACAGAGGGAUGCAAAGCCGUAAGGCGGAGCGAACCCCUAAAAGCCGUCCCAGUUCAGAUUGUGGGCUGCAACCCGCCCACA
rnacentral:rRNA from 1 species